GACGAACGCUGGCGGCGUGCUUAACACAUGCAAGUCGAACGGAAAGGCCCUGCUUUUGUGGGGUGCUCGAGUGGCGAACGGGUGAGUAACACGUGAGUAACCUGCCCUUGACUUUGGGAUAACUUCAGGAAACUGGGGCUAAUACCGGAUAGGAGCUCCUGCUGCAUGGUGGGGGUUGGAAAGUUUCGGCGGUUGGGGAUGGACUCGCGGCUUAUCAGCUUGUUGGUGGGGUAGUGGCUUACCAAGGCUUUGACGGGUAGCCGGCCUGAGAGGGUGACCGGGCACAAUGGGACUGAGAUACGGCCCAGAAUCCUACGGGAGGCAGCAGUGGGGAAUAUGGCACAAUGGGCGGAAGCCUGAUGCAGCAACGCCGCGUGCGGGAUGACGGCCUUCGGGUUGUAAACCGCUUUCGCCUGUGACGAAGCGUGAGUGACGGUAAUGGGUAAAGAAGCACCGGCUAACUACGUG
rnacentral:rRNA from 1 species